rnacentral:rRNA from 1 species
GUCUUUUUGAAUUUAAUUUAAAGUCUGACCUGCCCACUGAAUUUGUUUAAAUGGCCGCGGUACUUUGACCGUGCGAAGGUAGCAUAAUAAUUAGUUUUUUAAUUGAAAGCUGGAAUGAAUGGUUGAACGAGAAAGAUACUGUCUCAGGUUAAAUUUUAUUAGAAUUUUAUUUUUAAGUUAAAAAGCUUAAAUAUUUUUAAAAGACGAGAAGACCCUAUAGAGUUUUAUAUAUUUAAAUAUUUUUAAUUUUUAGACUUUUACAACUAGUUUUAUUUAAAUAUAUUUUGUUGGGGUGACAGAAAAAUUUAAUAAACUUUUUUUUUAUUUAAACAUUCAUUUAUGAUUUUUUGAUCCAUUUUUUAUGAUUAUAAGAUUAAAUUACCUUAGGGAUAACAGCGUAAUUUCUUUAAAGAGUUCAAAUCGAAAAAGAAGUUUGCGACCUCGAUGUUGGAUUAAAAUUAAAUUUUGGUGUAAAAGCUAAAAAUUUUAGGUCUGUUCGACCUUUAAAAUUUUACAUGAUCUGAGUUUAAACCGGCGUGAGCCAGGUUGGUUUCUAUCUUUAAAAAAAAUAAAUAUUUUAGUACGAAAGGACCAAUUAUUUAUAAAAUUUAUUAAACAUUGAAUAUUACUAAUUUAAUUACUUUGGCAGAUUAGUGCGUUAAAUUUAGAAUUUAAUUAUGUAGUUAAAAUUACAAGUAAUACUUGUUUUUUAAGGAUUUAGUUUUGAUGUUUUUUAGAAUGUUGGUAUUGAUUAUUUGUGUAUUAGUGGGGGUUGCUUU